ensembl:lncRNA
UUUGUUUAUUGUCCCCCUCUGGGCUUCCUUACUGUAUACCUGGGCUCUCGUCUGUGGCCCUCGAGGUCUGCUUCCCUGCAGCAUCAGAUCAAGGUUGGAGUUGGCCCCUGAGGACCCCUGCUGAAAGGCUGCAGAAGUGCUGUGUGAUGAUGCGUGUCUCUGAGGAAACCUUUGCCAUCUUACAGACGUCACGCUGUCAGAUCCACUGACGGGAAUUAAAGGCUUUAGGGGGACGGUUGCAUCAGAUUCAGACAUGAAUGUGUUGAUCUGACCGAGAGAAGAUCAGAUGAAGAGCACCAAAACACCUCCACACAGGACUACGCUCGAUAUAUUACAUACUGUACACUGACAAAAAUGGGUGUUUUCACUCAGAAAUUGCUAGUACAUUUCACAAAUAAUUACAAAAUAACUGCUAAAAGUGAUUAAAGUGAUUAAAAAAAUAAAUAUGUGAAAAAAAAUACACAAUAGACAAUAUAAUGUAUGUGCAGGUGUGCUAUAUACAAAUAAUGCAAUGUCAGAUAUGUUAAAUCAAUAACAUAUGUAUAAUAAAUAUAAGUAUAGAUAGUGGAUAUUACAUAAGUUUUAUUGCACAGUGGGGAAAACAUUUAACUGUUCAUGAAGCAGAUGGCCUGAGGAAAUAGUUUUGUUAUCAUCAGUGAUAUACAUGGUUCACAGCAGUGUGUUUGGUGUUGUUUGUGUUCCUGAUCGUUCGUGUUCGUUUACUUCAUUCAGACAGUUCUCUUCUGAACGCGCACUGUGUGAAGCUCAUUAAUUAACGCGUUAGUGCAUGGGGUUAUGUGUGUUUUAUUCUCUACUAUAUCUUCAGGAGAUCGGGUUUCUCUCUGUUCUGCAGACUGUGUGUGUUAAUGCUUAUUUAUAGCUGAAACUGAAUGCAUGAGAAUAUUGAAUGACAGAUUCCUUCCAGACAGGAAUGUUGUGCGCGCUCCCUACGCCACAGAUGGCCUCCAGAACGCGCAACAGCAUUCCAGUCCGGAGCUCUCUCUCACACACACUCUCUCUCUCUCUCUCUCUCUCUCUCACACACACACACACACACACACACACACACACAAAGAUUAAAUCAUAUUUCUGUAUUUCUCUAUCCUCUGAAUCUCCUCUGAUCCGUCUGACUGUGAUGAUGAUGAUGAUGAUGAUGAUGAUGCUGGACUCCUGGAUGGACCUCAAUCUGAAGCAGCUGAGUCCUGCAGAUAAACCUUCAACACUGUCCUACAGAGCAAAGACAAACAUUAAUAUUCAUGAUCCUGUGCUUCAUUCGUCACGCUCACAGCAAACAGGAAUCAUGGGAAAUGGUUAUGAAUGUUAAAUCCAUUUUAUCUGAUCAGAAUUCUGUUUGUUUUACGCUCACGUUCAUAUUUACACAAAGUAAAGUUCAUAGUUUGACCUCAAGGUCAAAGGUCAGCUGGAGAUGUAUUAUUUAAAAGUGUUCAGCUAAAGAUGUCGUUAGUUGGUUGUGAUCUGCUCAGUGUCAUUCUUUGCCAUUCUUUCAUUGGUUUUCAUGUGUGUU